CCCUUAGAUGUUCUGGGCCGCACGCGCGCUACACUGAUGCACUCAACGAGCCUCCACCUUGACCGAGAGGUCCGGGAAACCUUCGAACUUGCAUCGUGAUGGGGAUAGAUUAUUGCAACUAUUAAUCUUCAACGAGGAAUACCUAGUAGGCGCAUGUCAUCAGCGUGCGUCGAUUACGUCCCUGCCCUUUGUACACACCGCCCGUCGCUCCUACCGAUUGAAUGGUCCGGUGAAAUCUUCGGAUCUGAGAGAUGUUGGAUUAAUUUCUGACGCCUUUUGGAAAAGUCGCUUAAACCUUAUCAUUUAGAGGAAGGUGAANUCGUANCA
rnacentral:rRNA from 1 species